AGAGUUUGAUCCUGGCUCAGGAUGAACGCUGGCGGCAUGCCUAAUACAUGCAAGUCGAACGGAAUCUUAUAUGUUCCUCGUUUCGGAUUUAGUUCCGAGUUGGGGAACAUAAGAUUUAGUGGCUGACGGGUGAGUAACACGUUGGUACCUACCCUCUAGUGGGGGAAUAACUUCGAGAAAUCGAGGCUAAUACCGCAUAAUAUCUACGGAUUAAAGCAUUUAUGCGCUAGAGGAGGGGCCUGCGUCUGAUUAGCUUGUUGGUGAGGUAAAAAGCUCACCAAGGCGACGAUCAGUAGCUGGAUCGAGAGGUUGACCAGCCACACUGGGACUGAGAUACGGCCCAGACUCCUACGGGAGGCAGCAGUAAGGAAUCUUCCACAAUGGGCGAAAGCCUGAUGGAGCAAUGCCGCGUGCAGGAUGACGGCCUUCGGGUUGUAAACUGCUUUUAUAUGGGAAGAUUAUGACGGUACCAUAUGAAUAAGGACCGGCUAACUACGUG
rnacentral:rRNA from 1 species